UGACAUAUUAGACAGACACUUAAAUAGACAAGGCAUAGAAGGAUACAAUCCUAUUGCAGUUAAAUG